rnacentral:rRNA from 1 species
UGGGGAAUAUUGGACAAUGGGCGCAAGCCUGAUCCAGCCAUGCCGCGUGUGUGAAGAAGGCCUUUUGGUUGUAAAGCACUUUAAGCGAGGAGGAGGCUACUUGGAUUAAUACUCUAGGAUAGUGGACGUUACUCGCAGAAUAAGCACCGGCUAACUCUGUGCCAGCAGCCGCGGUAAUACAGAAGGUGCGAGCGUUAAUCGGAUUUACUGGGCGUAAAGCGUGCGUAGGCGGCUUCUUAAGUCGGAUGUGAAAUCCCUGAGCUUAACUUAGGAAUUGCAUUCGAUACUGGGAAGCUAGAGUAUGGGAGAGGAUGGUAGAAUUCCAGGUGUAGCGGUGAAAUGCGUAGAGAUCUGGAGGAAUACCGAUGGCGAAGGCAGCCAUCUGGCCUAAUACUGACGCUGAGGUACGAAAGCAUGGGGAGCAAACAGG